CGCUUGUAAUUAUAUAAACUUGGGCUUUUAAUAUUCCGGCCCAUUUAAGACCUUCACGCGCGUCAGAAAGGAAUCGGCUCCUGUCCGUCGCACGACAUCCGUGUUGGGAACCUGAGGUUUUGUGUUCCUCGAGCGCACAAAGGUGCAAUCCCAUGGGCCUCAAAUCCCCAGAAGUGACUCCCAGUGCGUGCAAAUCCUGACUGCACUUCGUCUGCUAUGCAGAGGCCACCAGCUUUCCUUAUGCUCUCGUACACAGCAGGCAAGUAACCUGGUGCUAGUUCCACUACCCCACCCACACCCUGCCUCAAUUUGGAGUCAGCAUCAUGAGCAUACCACAUGCAGAUAUCACCAUCAGAAUGAUGUCUUAUACCUGUAUGGAUUCAGAAAUGAAACCUGCGACCUGACCAGACGUCCCGAAUUCGAUGAUUUCUUGCACAUCUCUGGCAUACUUCUCUCCAUCCGACCCAAAGGCUCCUCUGUAUGGGUCUGGAUUCAUCGCAUGAUGCACUCCACUCUGGCGGUGGAACAUCGAAGAAGCAGGAUGUUAGAGCGAGUUAUCAGCAGCGCGAGCUCGUUCGCUUCGGUGCCGGAGUUGGUGAAGAAGACGACCUGAAGACUACACUCGGGUUAAGCAUUCAAGACUGCUUCGUUGUGGAGUUCGAGUAGCGUUGCAGACCUUGAGAUCUCCGGGGAGCUUGGAAGCUAAAGCUUCUGCGAAAUCAGCGAUGGCGUGGUUCAGAUACACGACGGUGGAGUGCUGCAGACGGCUGGUCUGGCGGACGACGGCGUCGACGACGUCGGGGUGGCAAUGGCCGCAGCACACGGUGGCGAUGCCGGCGAAAGCGUCGAGGUAACGCCGCCCGUCCUGGUCGAACAGGUACUGCAUCUUCCCGUCCACGAUGUUCAGCUGCGGAAGAACACAACACGUGUCAAGAAUCAUCGAGGAAGAAUGGCUGCACGUAGCAAAGAAUGGCAGCAACAAAAUCCAAGAGGAAAUCCAUGCAUGCAUAGAAAAAGUCAAACUAUAUUGGUGGAUUUUGAUCUGCCAAGAACGAGCGUAUACAAUGGUUGACGAACA